rnacentral:rRNA from 1 species
ACAGCAGUCGCCGCGGUAAUACGUAGGUGGCAAGCGUUGUCCGGAACUAUUGGGCGUAAAGGGCUCGCAGGCGGUUUCUUAAGUCUGAUGUGAAAGCCCCCGGCUCAACCGGGGAGGGUCAUUGGAAACUGGGAAACUUGAGUGCAGAAGAGGAGAGUGGAAUUCCACGUGUAGCGGUGAAAUGCGUAGAGAUGUGGAGGAACACCAGUGGCGAAGGCGGCUCACUGGACCGACACUGACGCUGAGGCGCGAAAGCGUGGGGAGCAAACAGGAUUAGAUACCCCUGUAGUCCCUGUCUCUUAUAC